AACGUUAGAGUCAUUGUGAGGAAAUAAAUCCUCAAGUUUAGUCUUGGGAGCCAAUCAAAAUAGUACUAAAAUGCGUCAUGUGAGAGUUGUCACAUAUUGCUAGGAUAGAUAAAAUCAGGGAACACAUGUUACAUUAAGAUUUUCCAUGGAGCCUGAGAUAAGCAAUUUACAGCACAGAGAAGAUGCCAUUGUAAUCACGGGUCUCUUCAUACAGCUGAUACCGAGAAAGACAGAAAGAAAAGAGUGGAAAACUCUACGGAUCCGCUACCGGAACGACUGCAGGUGGAGGCGGGGCGUACUGGGAGAGAU